rnacentral:lncRNA from 1 species
GUGUUUCAGGCGCAAAAAGGUUGUCCAUCGACCAGUAAAUAGCAAAACUUUUGGAGUUCUUUCUUAUUUAUGAAAGGUUGUUGAUCAUCACUAUCAAAUGGUAAUGAGCAAUGGAGAUAUGGUCACUCGGAACGAAGAAAACGUUGAUGCCAAGCAUUCUUGAAAUCCAGAAGAAGCUGUUGACGUUAACGAUAUGAGAGAUACGAAGGAUACAUCGGCAAAAUCAGCCGAACCUGUUGUUGAAACUGUUCAUGGUGAUAAAGGUUGGCUUAAUGAACAAAAAGUUA